UACGUAGGGUCCGAGCGUUGUCCGGAUUUAUUGGGCGUAAAGAGCUCGUAGGCGGUUCCGUAAGUCAGAUGUGAAAACUCAGGCUCACCCGGAGACGCCAUCUGAUACUGCGGUGACUGGAGUCUGGUAGGGGAACACGGAAUUCCUGGUGUAGCGGUGAAAUGCGCAGAUAUCAGGAGGAACACCGAUGGCGAAGGCAGUGUUCUGGGCCAGUACUGACGCUGAGGAGCGAAAGCGUGGGGAGCAAACAGG
rnacentral:rRNA from 1 species